GUAUGAAGUGAUGCACGUCAUCUUUCGGGACUGACCUCUCAUGGAGAGAACAUUUCGACUUACUGAUCAUAC
ensembl:snoRNA